UUAAUAUGAAAGUGAAUUUUGUCCUUUUUACAACUGGUAUAAAGAGUAAACUGCUCUGUGGUUAACAAUUGAUUCUAUUUUUCCCUUCAGGAUCAAAUUAUUUGCCACCUGGGGAACAAGGGAAAGAAGAGGACCUGUGCCCCUUGUUCCCAGAAGACUUCAUCCCAGCCAGCACAUUUCCUGAUUGAAUGAAAGAAUUAAGGAAAUAGCAAACCAUUCAAGUAUCUUUGCUGAGAAAAUUCCAUGGAUGGCAUGGGUCCACAAGAUCAUGAGUUGGACAUCACUGAAUAACAACAACAAGAGUGGCAGAGAAGUUAUAUACCGCUCUGGAGCUCUGUGGGCAAAAGCCCAAAUGCCGGGUAAGGGAGUCAGCCGAGCCCAACUGAUGACUAUGAAACAAGUCUUCGGGGAUCUUUCAUUUGCUCUUUCUGGUUGAGUUUCAUGGACUAGCUGCCUUGGGAAACGACACAGAGCAGCAACAUUCCAGACCCAGCAAGUCCUGAUCCCUGGAGGGAAGGGAGGUGAUUUUUCUUCUCAUCACUCCCAUCCUCAUUUCCCACCUCUCACCCAAGCAGCUGGUAUUCGCAGUGACCGAGAUGCUUCCUAACCGAGGAGAGGGAAUCUGGCGUAUUAGAGAAAAGGGGAACU
rnacentral:lncRNA from 1 species